rnacentral:rRNA from 1 species
AUUGAACGCUGGCGGCAGGCCUAACACAUGCAAGUCGAGCGGUUGAAGGGAGCUUGCUCCCUGAUUCAGCGGCGGACGGGUGAGUAAUGCCUAGGAAUCUGCCUAUUAGUGGGGGACAACGUUUCGAAAGGAACGCUAAUACCGCAUACGUCCUACGGGAGAAAGCAGGGGACCUUCGGGCCUUGCGCUAAUAGAUGAGCCUAGGUCGGAUUAGCUAGUUGGUGAGGUAAUGGCUCACCAAGGCGACGAUCCGUAACUGGUCUGAGAGGAUGAUCAGUCACACUGGAACUGAGACACGGUCCAGACUCCUACGGGAGGCAGCAGUGGGGAAUAUUGGACAAUGGGCGAAAGCCUGAUCCAGCCAUGCCGCGUGUGUGAAGAAGGUCUUCGGAUUGUAAAGCACUUUAAGUUGGGAGGAAGGGUUGUAGAUUAAUACUCUGCAAUUUUGACGUUACCGACAGAAUAAGCACCGGCUAACUCUGUGCCAGCAGCCGCAGUAAGAC